AUUGAACGCUGGCGGCAUGCUUUACACAUGCAAGUCGAACGGCAGCGCGGGCUUCGGCCUGGCGGCGAGUGGCGAACGGGUGAGUAAUACAUCGGAACGUGCCCAGUAGUGGGGGAUAGCUCGGCGAAAGCCGGAUUAAUACCGCAUACGACCUGAGGGUGAAAGCGGGGGAUCUUCGGACCUCGCGCUAUUGGAGCGGCCGAUGGCAGAUUAGCUAGUUGGUGGGGUAAAGGCCUACCAAGGCGACGAUCUGUAGCUGGUCUGAGAGGACGACCAGCCACACUGGGACUGAGACACGGCCCAGACUCCUAAGGGAGGCAGCAGUGGGGAAUUUUGGACAAUGGGCGAAAGCCUGAUCCAGCAAUGCCGCGUGUGUGAUGAAGGCCUUCGGGUUGUAAAGCACUUUUGGCGGGAACGAAAAGGACUGUGCAAAUACCACGGUUAGAUGACGGUACCCGCAGAAUAAGCACCGGCUAACUACGUG
rnacentral:rRNA from 1 species